GGCUUAACCGAAGAAGUGCAUCGGAAACCGGGCGACUUGAGUGCAGAAGAGGACAGUGGAAACUCCAUGUGUAGCGGUGGAAUGCGUAGAUAUAUGGAAGAACACCAGUGGCGAAGGCGGCUGUCUGGUCUGCAACUGACGCUGAGGCUCGAAAGCAUGGGUAGCGAACAGGAUUAGAUACCCUGGUAGUCCAUGCCGUAAACGAUGAGUGCUAGGUGUUGGAGGGUUUCCGCCCUUCAGUGCCGGAGCUAACGCAUUAAGCACUCCGCCUGGGGAGUACGACCGCAAGGUUGAAACUCAAAGGAAUUGACGGGGGCCCGCACAAGCGGUGGAGCAUGUGGUUUAAUUCGAAGCUACGCGAAGAACCUUACCAGGUCUUGACAUCUUGCGCUAACCUAAGAGAUUAGGCGUUCCCUUCGGGGACGCAAUGACAGGUGGUGCAUGGUCGUCGUCAGCUCGUGUCGUGAGAUGUUGGGUUAAGUCCCGCAACGAGCGCAACCCUUGUUACUAGUUGCCAGCAUUUAGUUGGGCACUCUAGUGAGACUGCCGGUGACAAACCGGAGGAAGGUGGGGACGACGUCAGAUCAUCAUGCCCCUUAUGACCUGGGCUACACACGUGCUACAAUGGACGGUACAACGAGUUGCGAACUCGCGAGAGUAAGCUAAUCUCUUAAAGCCGUUCUCAGUUCGGACUGUAGGCUGCAACUCGCCUACACGAAGUCGGAAUCGCUAGUAAUCGCGGAUCAGCAUGCCGCGGUGAAUACGUUCCCGGGCCUUGUACACACCGCCCGUCACACCAUGGAAGUUUGCAAUGCCCAAAGUCGGUGGCCUAACCAUUGGAGGAACCGCU
rnacentral:rRNA from 1 species